UUGCCCAGAGACAACAAGAUGUGGUCCGGCCCCAGCUGCCAUGUGUUGUGGACAUGUUUUCAAGUCUGCAAUGCACACACACUUGCUCGGCAUAGGAGUGAAAAUGGACUUCCGUAAAGUUGGUGCAAAGUUCUAAUGCAUUCAACAAUAUGGAAAAGAAUGGAUUACAUACAACAAACGUACGACAUGAUGACUGUGACUGGUCUGUGUGUGGUGGAUUUGCUGAUCGGCAGUGUCGUGGGAACCCCCCUACCAUAUCAGGAGCAGAAGGCUGAGGAAGUACGUGGCCAGACACCAGUCCCACUUCAGAUGGAGAACAGGAGAGAUGGUUUGUCAUGGAGUCCCCUGACUAAAAGACAGGUUUAUACAGAUGUCUGGGAGAGAGUGGAGUGUUUGAGAGGAUUGUUUCUGUCUUUAAAAAAUGUAUUAUGAUUGACUGGGCCUGGCUCCCCAGUGGGUGGGCCCCUGCCCAGUCAUGAGAAAUCCAUAGAUUCGGGCCUAAUGAAUU